CAGCAUCUUCGCCACCGCCGGGUGAUGUGCCAGGGGAGAACCUGUUUCUUCCAGUGAGUCAGGAAGACUUGGAACAGGUCUUCAAAGACGUGUAUGAAAGCUUUAGCCCCCCAACAAUAUGUGAAUUGCUCCAGGACGUCGAUUUCAACCAAGUACCUCCUCCCGUUCCCUUGGAAUCGGUGAUCAUGGCCACUGAUGGAGAUGGGCUGGAGGCUCCCAUGGGCAGACUCUCCCUGGACAGCAAAGCCAGCAACAAUGGACCACACA
rnacentral:lncRNA from 1 species